UGAUCCUGGCUCAGGACGAACGCUGGCGGCGUGCUUAACACAUGCAAGUCGAACGAGAGUUAGAUCGAAUGAGUUUUCGGACAAGUGAGAUUUAACGAAAGUGGCGAACGGGUGAGUAACACGUGAGCAACCUGCCUUACACAGGGGGAUAGCCAUUGGAAACGGUGAUUAAUACCCCAUAAGACCACAAUACCGCAUGGUAAAAGGGUAAAAGGGAUACCGGUGUAAGAUGGGCUCGCGUCUGAUUAGCUAGUUGGUGGGGUAAAGGCCUACCAAGGCGACGAUCAGUAGCCGGUCUGAGAGGAUGAACGGCCACAUUGGAACUGAGACACGGUCCAAACUCCUACGGGAGGCAGCAGUGGGGAAUAUUGCACAAUGGGGGAAACCCUGAUGCAGCGACGCCGCGUGAGCGAAGAAGGCUUUCGAGUCGUAAAGCUCUGUCCUAUGAGAAGAUAAUGACGGUAUCAUAGGAGGAAGCCCUGGCUAAAUACGUGCCAGCAGCCGCGGUAAUACGUAUGGGGCGAGCGUUGUCCGGAAUUAUUGGGCGUAAAGGGUACGUAGGCGGUUUUUUAAGUCAGGUGUCAAAGCGUGGAGCUUAACUCCAUUAAGCACUUGAAACUGAAAGACUUGAGUGAAGGAGAGGAAAGUGGAAUUCCUAGUGUAGCGGUGAAAUGCGUAGAUAUUAGGAGGAAUACCGGUGGCGAAGGCGACUUUCUGGACUUUUACUGACGCUCAGGUACGAAAGCGUGGGGAGCAAACAGGAUUAGAUACCCUGGUAGUCCACGCCGUAAAC
rnacentral:rRNA from 1 species